GUGGGGAUGGCUUAUUUCUGCUCCGUGUUAUCUGGACCCCAGCUGGGAAGAUUCAAAUGACUGGAGAUGUUUCAAGCAUCACUUCUGCUACACUCUCUUGAUCAAGAAAGUCACAAACCUACCAAGACCCUAAGGUUUCCAGGUCUUAAGUAAGGAAAUCACUACCAAGUCCCUUUCAAGGUCAAUUGUCGGUUGUUUGGCUUCUUCACUGACCAACUGAAGAAGAGGAUCAGUCCAGGAAGGAGUGUAAAAUGAGAUGAAGGGCGAAGCUGGACUGGAAUGAACACUUUAGUGAAAAGAAGAAAGGAAGUCAGAAAAUAGGGAAGGAGAAAGGGAGGAAAAGAAGGAGAAAGGAAGAGAGGGACGAGAUCACCUCCUUGGUUUUACACAGCUACAUAGAGCCAGGGUAUAGAUGAGCCCGUGGAUUCUCCUGGACCAACUGAGGAAACAAACAGCAAGGGGAGAUAGAAGCCUGAUCCAGUACUCAGAGAAGCUGAGGAAGAAAAACAAAAAUGGAUGAAACACUGACAGUUGCAGACUUUUAUUUGAAGUUGUAAAAUCUAACGAAUAAAUACGAUGUCAGCAG